rnacentral:rRNA from 1 species
GACGGAGGAUGCAAGCGUUAUCCGGAAUUACUGGGCGUAAAGCGCACGUAGGCGGAUCUUUAAGUCAGGGGUGAAAUCCUGGAGCUCAACUCCAGAACUGCCUUUGAUACUGAGGACCUUGAGUUCGGGAGAGGUGAGUGGAACUGCGAGUGUAGAGGUGAAAUUCGUAGAUAUUCGCAAGAACACCAGUGGCGAAGGCGGCUCACUGGCCCGAUACUGACGCUGAGGUGCGAAAGCGUGGGGAGCAAACAGG